UACGGGGGGGGCAAGCGUUGUUCGGAAUUACUGGGCGUAAAGGGCUCGUAGGCGGCCAACUAAGUCGGAUGUGAAAUCCCCAGGCUUAACCUGGGAACUGCAUCCGAUACUGGAUGGCUUGAAUCCGGGAGAGGGAUGCGGAAUUCCAGGUGUAGCGGUGAAAUGCGUAGAUAUCUGGAGGAACACCGGUGGCGAAGGCGGCAUCCUGGACCGGUAUUGACGCUGAGGCGCGAAAACUAGGGGAGCAAACGGG
rnacentral:rRNA from 1 species